rnacentral:rRNA from 1 species
GACGAACCGUGCGAACGUUGUUCGGAUUCACUGGGCUUAAAGGGCGCGUAGGCGGGUCAGCAAGUCCGGGGUGAAAGCUUUCGGCUCAACCGGAAAAGGGCCUUGGAUACUGCUGGUCUGGAGGAAGGUAGGGGCGUGUGGAACUUCCGGUGGAGCGGUGAAAUGCGUAGAUAUCGGAAGGAACGCCGGUGGCGAAAGCGACACGCUGGACCUUUUCUGACGCUGAGGAGCGAAAGCGUGGGGAGCGAACAGG